rnacentral:misc_RNA from 1 species
GAUGAAGAACGCAGCGAAAUGCGAUAAGUAAUGUGAAUUGCAGAAUUCAGUGAAUCAUCGAAUCUUUGAACGCACCUUGCGCCCUUUGGCCAUUCCGAAGGGCAUGCCUGUUUGAGUAUCGUGAACACCUCAACUCUUCAUGGUUUUCCAUGAUGAGCUUGGACUUUGGGGGUCUUGCUGGCCUGUGGGUCGGCUCCUCUCAAAUGAAUCAGCUUGCCGGUUUUUGGUGGGCAUCACAGGUGUGAUAACUAUCUACGCUUGUGGUUUUCCACCAGGGUAACCUUCAGCAGUGGAGGUUCACUGGAGCUUACAAAUGUCUCUCCUCUGUGAGGACAGCCCUUUGAAUGUUUGAUCUCAAAUCAGGUAGGACUACCCGCUGAACUUAAGCAUAUCAAUAAGCGGAGGA